rnacentral:rRNA from 1 species
ACUAACGCUGGCGGCGUGCCUAACACAUGCAAGUCGAACGGUGGUAGCAAUACCAUAGUGGCAAACGGGUGAGUAACACGUAGAUAACGUGCCCCUCCGCUGGGGAUAGCCACUGGAAACGGUGGGUAAUACCGAAUAAUGUACCUUCUGGCAUCAGGAGGUAGUAAACUGGCAACGGGCGGAGGGAGCGGUCUGCGUCCUAUCAGCUAGUUGGUGAGGUAACGGCUCACCAAGGCGUCGACGGGUAACCGGUCUGAGAGGAUGGUCGGUCACACUGGCACUGAGAUACGGGCCAGACUCCUACGGGAGGCAGCAGUGAGGGAUUUUGCGCAAUGGGGGAAACCCUGACGCAGCGACGCCGCGUGCGGGACGAAGCCUUUCGGGGUGUAAACCGCUGUCAGUGGGGAAGAGUAAGGACGGUACCCACUGAGGAAGCCUCGGCUAACUACGU